UACGUAGGUGGCAAGCGUUGUCCGGAAUUAUUGGGCGUAAAGCGCGCGCAGGCGGUCCUUUAAGUCUGAUGUGAAAGCCCACGGCUCAACCGUGGAGGGUCAUUGGAAACUGGGGGACUUGAGUGCAGAAGAGGAGAGUGGAAUUCCACGUGUAGCGGUGAAAUGCGCAGAUAUCAGGAGGAACACCAAUAGCGAAGGCAGCUCGCUGGGACGUUACUGACACUAAGGCGCGAAAGCGUGGGGAGCGAACAGG
rnacentral:rRNA from 1 species